rnacentral:rRNA from 1 species
CCUACGGGAGGCAGCAGUGAGGAAUAUUGGUCAAUGGCCGUAAGGCUGAACCAGCCAAGUCGCGUGAAGGAAAAAGGAUCUAUGGUUUGUAAACUUCUUUUAUAGGGGAAUAAAGGUAUCCACGUGUGGCUAUUUGCAUGUACCCUAUGAAUAAGCAUCGGCUAACUCUGUGCCAGCAGCCGCGGUAAUACGGAGGAUGCGAGCGUUAUCCGGUUUUAUUGGGUUUAAAGGGUGCGUAGGUUGUUUUUUAAGUCAGCGGUGAAAGUUUGUGGCUCAACCAUAAAAUUGCCGUUGAAACUGGAAGACUUGAGUGUGUUUGAGGUAGGCGGAAUGCGUGGUGUAGCGGUGAAAUGCAUAGAUAUCACGCAGAACUCCGAUUGCGAAGGCAGCUUACUAAGCCAUAACUGACACUGAAGCACGAAAGCGUGGGGAUCAAACAGGAUUAGAUACCCCAGUAGUC